rnacentral:misc_RNA from 1 species
AAUUCUCAACUACCUUUUAGCAUUUUAUGUUAAUGGUGAAGUUGGAGUUGGAGGAUAAUUGCUGGCGCAACUAAGGUUGCUUGUUGGCUCCUCUUGAAUGGAUGAGCUUUUCUGAUAGAUCAUAGCUUAGGAACACUAAUGUGAUAAUUAUCUACGUUAGAUGUGAAAGCUUGUGAGUAGAGUAACUUCAAAUAUGGAGAUUGCUCCUACAGAAAAGGUGUGUUUUUGGGGGAAUAACAAACCCUAAAUGUAAUGACAA